UUUUACUGGCGUUCCUACGAUUUUGGCUAAAGAUUCAUGCAAGAUACGUACGCGAAUUGUUCGAUAAAUUGACAUUGGAUCGGUAGUGAACGUGGAACAGGACAAGUUAUAAAGAAAAAUGCUCCCUAAAUUUUUAUAAUGGUCAAAUCCUUAAACGAGAAAGAGAGAGAAAGAGAAAGAGAGAAAGGGGGGAGGAAGAGAAACGCGUUUUGAGUGUAGUAUAAACCUUAUUGAACACAUCGGCGAAUACGAACAGAGUGUUACAAACAAUGUCUGUGAUGCUUUUUUGUAAGAUUUAGGCCCAGUUCAGCAUGAAUAACGAUAAGCAAGUAGAGAAUUAUUCUUUGUGAAAAAUAUUCGUGUAAUCUUAUAAACCUUCGACCUCUAUCAAGACACUACGAAAUGAGACUAAUUCGUCGAUCGAAAGCACAGAACAUGGCCAAAUAAUAAGCAGGCGAUGUGUUUGUAUAUAUAUAUAUAUAUAUAUAUAUAUAUAUAUAUAUGCAUAUAUAUAUAUAUAUAUAUUUUUUUUUUGCAAUCUAGCCAAUAUCAGAAGCAACCUACACGAACGUCAGAAAUCUUCGUAACAUUAAACAACAAAGCCUUUACAAAACGUUCAAACGUAACGAAGGAAAACUUAAACGGAUAAUUACCUCCGGAUCACUCGCUUAUCAACGCAUACACGAAUAAUACACAAAGUACCAUGUUGGGCCUAAAUCAAAAGAUAUGUACAAAGUGCACUACACAGUGGACUUAGAUAUGUCUGUAAAACUCUGACUUACUGCGACGGUGGAGCCAUUUUUUCCGACACCACCGGCAAGAAUGACGGAUAUACUGCUUUGUGCAAGUAAAAUAGCGAUGCCCACGGCGAUCCAUAAUGGAAAGAUCUUGACCUCUGUGCCAGUAUAUGGCAACUGCAUGAGCGAUACGAAACAUCUUUCCGUUAGUUGGCUUCAACAGCAAGCAGAGUGAAUAUUCUUAAUCGCUUUAAUACAUUUCAUUAUUAUAUCUAAGCAUCUUGAGAGAGAAAGAGAGAGAGAGAGAGAAAUUGAAAUAUAUAUGUGCGUGUGUUUGUGUGUAUGUAUAUAUAAAGGAAUGUAAAUAGAAAGAUAAUUAGAAGAAGAGAAAGAGAAAUAAAAUGCCCUUGAAAUGAUUUUCAUUCGAUACAUCCACAAUGAUAGUCAAAAUUUUUAUAUCUGUAUAAUAAAGAACGAAAUAUUGCUCUCCUACUCGACCAUCAUCGCCAUAACCACAAACAGAAUCCAAUUCAGAUACCUCAGCAAUCUCAUAAGAUUAAAAAUAUCGAGUACGAAAUGACGAUAAAUAAAUGACUUUCAACAUCGCAUUGCACAAGAGUGCACCAAGGUACCAGAUAGUACAAGUAAAAGAUAUACCGUAUUCAUCCCUAACAGAGGCAGUUCGAGAUGGUAGGUGCUAGUUAUAUAUGUCCUCCCACAAUGGAAAUGAUUAAUUAGAAAAAUAGAGAAAGUAGGUACUAUGGAUAGGAUAGUUGUAGGAGAGAAAGAGAGAGAGAGAGAGAGAGAGAGAGAGAGAGAGAGAGAGAGAGAGAGAGAAAGGGAAGGAGAGAAAGAGAGAGGGAGAGAGCUAGAUAUUAGAAAGAAAAAGACAGAGAAAGAGGAAAAGAAACAGAGAAAGAGGAAAAGAAACAAAGAAAAAGUGAUUAUCAAGCGUAAGAAACUGUUGCAAAAUUUGGUGAGAAAAGUUUGUUCUAAUCUACACUGGCAGAGGUAACAGAGGUUAAACAUAUUUUUUUCCAGUAUUUUUUUUUUUAAUUUUUUAAAAUACUGUGCGAGCGAUCAAAUCUUUUUUUUUGUUUGGUCUGUUUUGUUUCUUUUUCUUCGAACUUACUGCAAUUGUCGAACCGUUCUUUCCAAUUCCACCGGAUUCAAAGACUUUACAAAAUUGAAGAAAGACGUGCGCGUAGCCCGCGUAAAAUAUCGCUGCCACGUAACAACUGAGUGUGCCCAGACCGAGCAUAGGGAUCUAAACAAAUCCAGAAAAUCUUACUCUUUAAGAAGAUCGUGAAGAGCAGAAGAGAAAAACUUUUAUUCAUCUAAAGAACGCAGACCUUCCAAUUCAUUCCUUUUCGAUUAUCAACGAUUCGACUCUAAUCCGGAAUGAGAUCAAAUAGAGAAAAGCCAAAAAUACUCGAAGAUGAGACGAUUAUGAGGUACAUAACAGCAAAUUACAGCACUCUUCUUCGGUCGCAAUUUAAAAGAAACAUGGAUCAUCAUCAUUGAAGACGAUACAUUAUUCAAUAUCUUUACUAUACUCUUUUUAUAGAGGCAUACUUAAAAGGAAGCACAAUUAAUUGCUAAGUAAAAGUGUAUGUGUUUUCGUCGUUGUCGUAUUGCUGUUAUUGUUACUGUUUAUUUUAUUCUAUAUAGUCGAUCAACAAAAAGAAACGAACGCAAAAGUAUAAGCAGGGGAGAAGACAUGUGGUGGGAAAAACUAAGGAAGAAACAAAUAUUGCAUAAUCUUGUUAAUACGUUAAUUAAUGGACUUCGAUUUGACACCAAUUAAGGUAAUUAUGGGAUUAGCGAUAAUCUCAAAUCGAAAGAGAUUUGACAGAAUGAUAAAUUAUUGGGAAAACCUCGAUUAUUGACGCGAAAUAUAAAAACUAAUCAUAUUGUAAAAUUAAAAAAAUUCUGAUCGAGGAAAAAAAUCUCCUCGAUGAAUAAAUAUUAAAUUUGCGAUAUUAUUACGUCGCUUUUAAAUUCUACACCAAGCACCAAUGAUUAAAAUACAAAAAAAGAAAAAAAAAAAAAAAAAGAAAAUAAUUGCAGCAAAAAUUCUAUAUAUACACUGUAAUAAUACGAAUGAAAGAACGCUUAAGAACCUAUAUUUAUAUACAGAACAAUAAAUUACAUUCGAACGUAACAUCUCUACGUUGUAAAAAUUUUUGAAAAAAUGCAUUUCAUCGUGCAACGUUCAAACGGCUUUAUAACGUCUUGAUACUUUGCAUAAAUGUAAAAUAUCUCUUUUUAGUUCGUAAGAUGACAUACUAAUAAGUUCAUUAAAUAUUUGAAACUUAGACAAAUGAUUGGCGAGGAAUCGUAAUUAUACAAGGAAAUUGAUGAUAUAGGAUCAACGUAAACAAUUCAUUGGGGAAUAUGGAAAUAAAAUGUGUAUUAAGUUGUUAAGUAUUGGCGGUAUAUAGAAGUACUUCCAGCACUGCUCUUCAUGCCAUGCUGAUCCCAUUUCCGUAUGUUCAACCGAAAAAUCUAAUUUUCGAACUUACAGCCACAGUCGAACCAUUCUUGCCCACUCCUCCGGUGAAAAUCACCGAAAAUAUGGAAUAUAAGUUUGCCAGAGCACACACCACUGUCAUAACUCCUAUUAAAUAUUUCAACAGAAAACCAUCAAUGUAUGGUAUCUGGAAGAAAUGUUCACGUUAGACUCAUGAAAAAAUAACACGGAUAUAUUUUUCCAAACUCCAUGAGUCAUUUUCUCUAUUCCUAUUUCCUUAUUUUUAUAUUAUUAUUCAAUUUAUAUGUGUAUAUUUCGUAUUCUUAAUAAAGAAUACGAGAAUAGCACCUUUUGUAAUUGUAAGAUUCGUAAAAAAAAUGAAAAAAAUAAAUAAAUUAAUUAAACAAAAACUGUACGAUAAUAAUAAUCAUAGAUCUAUUUGAGUUAACUCUACUAUGCAAUAUACAUCGGAGGGGUAAUUUUAAUAUUAUUUUGUAUAUAAUACAUCAGCAUGUUAAACAUAUUAUAAAAGCAAGGUUAGCAAUGACUAGCCAAUUCUUAUGAAAUGCUAAGAAAAAUUUGAGCCAUCCUUUUACUACUUAAUUCCUCGCAUAUAUGUUUGCUAACCAUAUAACGCCUAUAUUACUUGUGAUUAUUUGUGCUUCCUUUAUUCAUAAUAAAAAUAAGUUUUCAUAGCAAAUAGAUCAAACUAUUCAUUGUAGUAACUCAAAAUUUUAAAAAGAAAAUAAUAGGAGAAAAUACAGUAAAAUAAAAAUUUUCGAAUAUGUGUGACUCACUACAAAUAAAAUUCAACAAUAUGGAUGAAAUGUAAGAAAAAAAAGAUACAACCUCCAUCAUCCAAAUCUUAGGUCCAAAAAUAGCAGAAACAAGAUGUAUUCCUAUGAUGGUGAACUGAGCUUCUGUUACAUCCACUUUUCCAAAUCUUAAAGAUCCUGUUAAAAAAGAAUAUAUCAAUAUAUAAAAUCAACAAUAAAUAUAUAAAACACUGUAUCUAGUUAUAUCAUAUCUUGGAAAACAAAUUCUGUUUACCUGAGACAUAAGUUUGCCAAUGCGCGCAAUAAAAUAAAGUCAUUGCGCAAAAACAUUGGAAGAACAUCCAUGUUGGAUAAUAUCCCAACUGUACAGCUAUACAUGCGGAUAAUGCUACGAAUACUGAAAAAUACAAAUAAAUGAAAUUAAAAAUAUAAAAUAAUGUUUUAACAUUACAGUUAUAAUAAAAUAAUUACCUGUGGAUAUUGAAUCACAUCCAUGAUCAAAUAAUUCUCCCAAUGGUGUAGACGUACCAGUUCUUCUAGCCUGUUUGCCAUC